CAGAUAAACAGCAAGAGAUAACAGAAGUGUAGGAUUGAUUGUGAGCUUCUCCCCCCAAACUCAGAAAAACUGCCAGGCCUAUGGUAACAUCUCCGUUUUCAGAAGCUCAGAAAAGUAAGCUGCUUGCUCAAGAAUGCACGGCUUCAAGGUGGCAGAGCUGGAAGUUUCUAACUCACUCACCUCAUACUCAGACCUGCACUGUUUUUCAAGAUAGUCAAUAUUUCAGGCCAUCUACUGAUUGGAUGAGGCCCACCAGCAUUCUGAAGGACAGGGAAUCUGAGACCUGGCUGGGAGAAGAGGACUUGCCUAAAGUUAUCCCACACAGCAAAUUAGUUGGAAAACCAGGAUAGUUGAGUAAAUAUCCUGGAGCCCAGCCAAGUAAUGAAGCCAGAAUUCAGAAAGCUGUUUUGACUAGAUCUGGGAUUUUUACAAUAAAGGGUCUGUAAGGGAUAUUUGUGAAAAAUGUUGACACUUGACGGCUGUCCUGAUUCAUUCAGCUACCUAGGUUAUCUCUGCCUCUCUUUGACUUGUGUUUUGUCUUUUAAGAUGGCAGUCUUGCUCUUUUGCCUGGGCUGGUCUUGAACUCCUGGGCUCAAGCAGUUUUCCUGCUUUAGCCUCCUGAGUAGCUGGGGCUACAGGAGGACAUCACUGUGCCCAGCUCUCUCCGUAUCUUUGACUAGGUUAUUUUACAACCCCAUAAGAUAGAAAUGAAGUUAUAGAAAACUGAUAGGAAUAUAAAUAAUUAUUAUCCAUGGAAAUGCAAAUUGGAUCUAAUGGAAUGAAACUGAUUUUUUUUCCAGCAGAUAGUGACCACUUUUGUAUCCUUUUGUAAAUUCAUUUCAGCAUUCCAUAUUUGACUAAAAAUGUGUGACACUCCCAAUUUGCUUUUGAAUUCAUUGUAAUAUCUACCAAUUCCCUCAUUAAUUAAUGAGUUAAAUAAAGCCUUUGGCAUGUAUUUAUUUUGUA